GACAGAGGCCUCGAGCGUUAGGCGGAAUCACUGGGCUUAAAGCGUGUGUAGGCGGGCCCGUAAGUGUCUUGUGAAAUCCCACGGCUCAACCGUGGAACUGCUGGGCAUACUGCGGGUCUUGGGCCAACUAGGGGCAGCCGGAACAAGCGGUGGAGCGGUGAAAUGCGCAGAUAUCGGGAGGAACACCGGUGGCGAAGGCGGUUCUCUGGGCCUUACCUGACGCUGAGGAGCGAAAGCGUGGGGAGCGAACAGG
rnacentral:rRNA from 1 species